UGUUAAGUAUAUUUAAUACGAACUUACUACACUAUGAAGCUUACUGUGUAUUAUUUGUCUAUGUUUUAUAGAGGAUCAAAGUUAACUUGGACUCAGGGAUCAUCGAGAACAUCAUCGCUCUAUCAAACAUCUAAGUUGGUACUUUUGAGAUACGUAUAUGGUAUAUGGCAUGUAUAGGCUAGUUAAGGUACUUUGGUUGUGAAUAUGGCC
rnacentral:lncRNA from 1 species